GUGCAACUAACUUGACUGUUUCGAGCAGAAUCGUCACAUGUUAAAGUCUGACUUUGAUUUAAAGUUUGUUGUAAUAUUUCAGCCGUAAAGCCGGUGAGAGUGAAAGCUUUGGGUGAAUUCAACGCUCGUUUAGAUGAUGAGAUCACGUUUGUAAAAGGCGACAAGUUGACCGUUGACGAUGACAUAUUGUGUCAAGGUCAUACUUGGGUACCUGCAACACACCAAGCUUCAGGACAGACAGGUUUUAUACCAAUUAGAUUCGUCAUUAAGGAUGACAACAGCCUAAGAUCCCAGGAAUGGUGGUUUGAUUUAAACAAAGAAGAAACAGAGGAACGCCUUAUGUCUCCUUGCUACAAACCCGG
rnacentral:lncRNA from 1 species